rnacentral:lncRNA from 1 species
AUUUACUUAUUGCGGGACAGGGUAGCCAAUAAACUGUCACCCUCUCCUGUGCUUAGGGUGUUCAGGGUAUUUGUUAAUGUUCAAAAAAAAAAAAAGUGGGAUCACAAUUCUGAGACACCAAGCGUAGAUUACUUCAUAGACAAAGAGUGGAAGCUGGAGAUCGAGAUCGGCGGGGCUGGAAGGGAGGAGGUGGGGGAGGGAGUGUAAUGGGGCCAGCUUCAGUUUGAAAAGACAAAAAUGUCCUAGAGAAAGGUGCUGCUGUCCAUUGCGCAGCAACGUGAAUGGAAACAGGACACUGAAGGACACACAGAGAUGUGGUUAAAGUGCUCAGAGUGCUGUGACCAUUAGCACAGUUUAAACAAUGCACACACAUCUGUGGAAAUUGGGUGUUUGAAUCACCGUGUAAUAAAAUAUUAGCUAGAUGUGAUUUGUAAGAAUUUACCAAAACUUCCAUUCAGAAUGGCUACUCUGACUAUACACAUGUUGUAUACACUGUGGGUCUGGUUAACUAAGAUGUGUGGUUUUUUUUCCCCACUUUUUUUUUUUUUUUUUAGAAAUAAAGUUUAAUUUUUUAAUAAUAAAAGAAAAAAGCCAGGUGUGGUGGUAAAUGCCUUUAAUUCCAGAACUCAGGAGGUAAAGACAAAUUGAUCUCUGUGAGUUCAAAGCCAACCUAGUCUACAAAUUUAGUUCUAGGACA